CCUACGGGUGGCAGCAGUGGGGAAUAUUGGACAAUGGGGGCAACCCUGAUCCAGCCAUGCCGCGUGCGUGAAGAAGGCCCUCGGGUUGUAAAGCACUUUCAGUGAGGAAGAACGCCUGGUGGUUAAUACCCAUCAGGAAAGACAUCACUCACAGAAGAAGCACCGGCUAACUCCGUGCCAGCAGCCGCGGUAAUACGGAGGGUGCGAGCGUUAAUCGGAAUUACUGGGCGUAAAGCGCGCGUAGGUGGCUUGAUAAGCCGGUUGUGAAAGCCCCGGGCUCAACCUGGGAACGGCAUCCGGAACUGUCAAGCUAGAGUGCAGGAGAGGAAGGUAGAAUUCCCGGUGUAGCGGUGAAAUGCGUAGAGAUCGGGAGGAAUACCAGUGGCGAAGGCGGCCUUCUGGACUGACACUGACACUGAGGUGCGAAAGCGUGGGUAGCAAACAGGAUUAGAUACCCUGGUAGUC
rnacentral:rRNA from 1 species